rnacentral:rRNA from 1 species
GACGAACGCUGGCGGCGUGCUUAACACAUGCAAGUCGAACGAAGUGGCGAACGGGUGAGUAACGCGUAAUCAACCUGCCCUUCAGAGGGGGACAACAGUUGGAAACGACUGCUAAUCCCGCAUACUGAAGGAGGGGAUUGCGUCUGAUUAGCUAGUUGGAGGGGUAACGGCCCACCAAGGCGAGGAUCAGUAGCCGGGCUGAGAGGGUGAACGGCCAAAUUGGGACUGAGACACGGCCCCGACGCCUACGGGAGGCAGCAGUGGGGAAUUUUCCGAAAUGGACGAAAGGCUGACGGAGCAACGCCGGGGGAGUGAUGACGGCCUUCGGGGUGUAAAGCUCUGUUAAUCGGGACGCGGUACCGGAAGAGAAAGCCACGGCUAACUACGUGCCAGCAGCCGCGGUAAUUC